rnacentral:rRNA from 1 species
GACGAACGCUGGCGGCGUGCCUAAUACAUGCAAGUAGAACGCUGAAGGAGGAGCUUGCUUCUCCGGAUGAGUUGCGAACGGGUGAGUAACGCGUAGGUAACCUGCCUGGUAGCGGGGGAUAACUAUUGGAAACGAUAGCUAAUACCGCAUAACAGUAGAUCUUGCAUGAUAUCUGCUUGAAAGGUGCAAUUGCAUCACUACCAGAUGGACCUGCGUUGUAUUAGCUAGUUGGUGAGGUAACGGCUCACCAAGGCGACGAUACAUAGCCGACCUGAGAGGGUGAUCGGCCACACUGGGACUGAGACACGGCCCAGACUCCUACGGGAGGCAGCAGUAGGGAAGCUUCGGCAAUGGACGGAAGUCUGACCGAGCAACGCCGCGUGAGUGAAGAAGGUUUUCGGAUCGUAAAGCUCUGUUGUAAGAGAAGAACGAGUGUGAGAGUGGAAAGUUCACACUGUGACGGUAUCUUACCAGAAAGGGACGGCUAACUACGUG